rnacentral:rRNA from 1 species
AUUGAACGCUGGCGGCAUGCCUUACACAUGCAAGUCGAACGGUAACGGGCCUUCGGGUGCCGACGAGUGGCGAACGGGUGAGUAAUGUAUCGGAACGUACCUUUCAGUGGGGGAUAACGUAGCGAAAGUUACGCUAAUACCGCAUAUUCUGUGAGCAGGAAAGCAGGGGAUCGCAAGACCUUGCGCUGAUUGAGCGGCCGAUAUCAGAUUAGCUAGUUGGUGAGGUAAAGGCUCACCAAGGCGACGAUCUGCAGCGGGUCUGAGAGGAUGAUCCGCCACACUGGAACUGAGACACGGUCCAGACUCCUACGGGAGGCAGCAGGGGGGAAUUUUGGACAAUGGGGGCAACCCUGAUCCAGCCAUGCCGCGUGAGUGAAGAAGGCCUUCGGGUUGUAAAGCUCUUUCGGCCGGGAAGAAAUCGUAUCAGCUAAUACCUGGUGCGGAUGACGGUACCGGCAUAAGAAGCACCGGCUAACUACGUGCCAGCCGCCGCAGUAAGAC